rnacentral:rRNA from 1 species
AUUGAACGCUGGCGGCAGGCCUAACACAUGCAAGUCGAGCGAUUUUGGCUUCGGUCAGAAGAGCGGCGAACGGGUGAGUAACACGUAGGAAUCUGCCUGGUAGUGGGGGACAACGUCUCGAGAGGGACGCUAAUACCGCAUACGCCCUACGGGGGAAAGCUGGGGACCUUCGGGCCUAGCGCUAUCAGAUGAGCCUGCGUCGGAUUAGCUAGUUGGUAGGGUAAAGGCCUACCAAGGCGACGAUCCGUAACUGGUCUGAGAGGAUGAUCAGUCACACCGGAACUGAGACACGGUCCGGACUCCUACGGGAGGCAGCAGUGGGGAAUAUUGGACAAUGGGGGCAACCCUGAUCCAGCCAUGCCGCGUGUGUGAAGAAGGCCUUCGGGUUGUAAAGCACUUUAGGUCGGGAGGAAGGUUUGCUGGCUAAUAUCCAGCAGAAUCGACGUUACCGACAGAAUAAGCACCGGCUAACUCCGUGCCAGCCGCCGCGGUAAAAC